rnacentral:lncRNA from 1 species
CUGGUAAGAUGGUGUCUGCUCUCUGAGCUCUGUCUGCUCCCACUUCUUUGGAGAGAUCAGUAGCUAGGUACAAAGAUGCAGCUGCAGUUCCAGUGGAGGCUGCGUUUCCUACGAAGGUGCUGGCGGGACCGUGGAGGAAACGAGCUGCCCAUUUCACAGAAUCACCUGGCGCAUCGAGGUCCCUGGGAGCCCGUCCCGCGUCGGCCCGUGAAUGCCGCUGCAUCCAGCUCCCGGGGCGGGCUGUGUCCUUCCUUGGAACCGCCCACCAUGCCUGGCCCUCGGGGUGGGGGCAUCCUCAGCAUGGCCUCAGAAGACCCCAGCCCUCCUGCUACGGGGACACAGGAGCCCCUGCUCCCUUGUGCCUCAGGUUCCCCAUCUACGAAACGAGGCGGUUUGAACUAAAAGCUUCUUCACAAGCUUUUCAGCUGAGAUCAUUCCUCUUGGUAUGAAUUUCUAUUUUCUAAACCAUAAAAGCCCAUGAAUACACGAGAUAAAGAUCGUACGAUCCAGGAAAUGAGUCUCCCUCUGCCCUGCCCCUGGCAGACGACGCUGCGAGCUGAGUGUUUUUCAUGCCAGGCCUUUUCCUGGAGUGUUUCCUGAGCAUCGUUUUACUCUGAGGCCUCGUGUAAUUGUUCGUCUUACUUAUUCCACUAACGGGAGGUUUUCGGUGCUUUUUUGUCGCCUACACUCACACGCCUAACUUCCAGUGGCUGCGUAGCAUACCAUCACCCGAGCUAUGACGGCGAGGCCACACACGCCCCUGUCUGUGUCGUGUGGCCCACGCAUCCCGGAUUAUUCCUUGGAAUCACGCGCCCAGAAGCAGGACGUCCGGUCUGGGGUCUGGGAGCAUUUUUCGCUGUUCAACGCCUUAAGGGAAUUUGCGUUUCAAACACGUCACCCCGAUUUAUAA